rnacentral:rRNA from 1 species
GACCUACGGGGUGUAGAAUAAGUGGGAGUGCUUGCACGAACUUGAAAUACCACUACCCGUAGCGUUGUUUUACUUAUCUCGUGUCGUAUCGUCCAGUCGGCCUCGCGGUCGCCUGGUUCUAGCCUUAAUCCUCGUGAGUGGGGUGAGAUACGCGGGAGACACCGUCAGGUGGGGAGUUUGGCUGGGGCGGCACAUCUGUUAAAGAAUAACACAGGUGUCCUAAGGUUAGCUCAAUGAGAACAGAAAUCUCAUGUAGAACAAAAGGGUAAAAGCUAACUUGAUUUUGAUUUUCAGUAUGAAUACAAACUGCGAAAGCAUGGCCUAUCGAUCCUUUAGUCCUUUAGAAUUUA